rnacentral:rRNA from 1 species
AGUGAACGCUGGCGGUAGGCCUAACACAUGCAAGUCGAACGGCAGCACAGUAAGAGCUUGCUCUUACGGGUGGCGAGUGGCGGACGGGUGAGGAAUACAUCGGAAUCUACUUUUUCGUGGGGGAUAACGUAGGGAAACUUACGCUAAUACCGCAUACGACCUACGGGUGAAGGCAGGGGAUCUUCGGACCUUGCGCGAUUGAAUGAGCCGAUGUCGGAUUAGCUAGUUGGCGGGGUAAAGGCCCACCAAGGCGACGAUCCGUAGCUGGUCUGAGAGGAUGAUCAGCCGCACGAGAACUGAGACACGGUCCAGACUCCUACGGGAGGCAGCAGUGGGGAAUAUUGGACAAUGGGCGCAAGCCUGAUCCAGCCAUACCGCGUGGGUGAAGAAGGCCUUCGGGUUGUAAAGCCCUUUUGUUGGGAAAGAAAAGCAGCAGGUUAAUACCCCGCUGUUCUGACGGUACCCAAAGAAUAAGCACCGGCUAACUUCGUG